AGAAUCAACGCUGGCGGCGUGCCUAACACAUGCAAGUCGAACGAGAAAGUGGGAGCAAUCCCACGAGUAAAGUGGCGCACGGGUGAGUAACACGUGACUAACCUACCCUUGAGUGGGGGAUAACCUAGGGAAACCUGGGCUAAUACCGCAUAAUACCUACGGGUCAAAGGAGCAAUUCGCUUUAGGAGGGGGUCGCGGCAGAUUAGUUAGUUGGCGGGGUAAUGGCCCACCAAGACAGUGAUCUGUAUCCGGCCUGAGAGGGCGCACGGACACACUGGAACUGAAACACGGUCCAGACUCCUACGGGAGGCAGCAGUGGGGAAUUUGCGCAAUGGGGGAAACCCUGACGCAGCAACGCCGCGUGGAGGAUGAAGCCCCUUGGGGCGUAAAACUCCUUUCGAUCGGGAAGAUAAUGGACGGUACCGAAGAAGAACGCCCGGCUAACUUCGUGCCAGCAGCCGC
rnacentral:rRNA from 1 species